CCCUUAGAUGUUCUGGGCCGCACGCGCGCUACACUGACGAAUGCAACGAGCUUAUAACCUUGGCCGAAAGGUCUGGGUAAUCUCCAAAUUUCGUCGUGAUGGGGAUAGAUUAUUGCAAUUAUUAAUCUUCAACGAGGAAUGCCUAGUAAGCGCAAGUCAUCAGCUUGCGUUGAUUACGUCCCUGCCCUUUGUACACACCGCCCGUCGCUCCUACCGAUUGAAUGGUCCGGUGAAGCGUUCGGACCGUGGCCUUUGGACGGUUCGCCGUCUGUUGGCUGCGGGAUGUUCGUUAAACCUUAUCAUUUAGAGGAAGGAGAAGUCGUAACA
rnacentral:rRNA from 1 species